rnacentral:rRNA from 1 species
AUUGAACGCUGGCGGCAUGCUUUACACAUGCAAGUCGAACGGUAACAGGUCUUCGGAUGCUGACGAGUGGCGAACGGGUGAGUAAUACAUCGGAACGUGCCUAGUAGUGGGGGAUAACUACUCGAAAGAGUAGCUAAUACCGCAUGAGAUCUACGGAUGAAAGCAGGGGACCUUCGGGCCUUGUGCUACUAGAGCGGCUGAUGGCAGAUUAGGUAGUUGGUGGGGUAAAGGCUUACCAAGCCUGCGAUCUGUAGCUGUUCUGAGAGGACGACCAGCCACACUGGGACUGAGGCACGGCCCAGACUCCUACGGGAGGCAGCAGUGGGGAAUUUUGGACAAUGGGCGAAAGCCUGAUCCAGCAAUGCAGCGUGCAGGAUGAAGGCCCUCGGGUUGUAAACUGCUUUUGUACGGAACGAAAAGCCUGGGGCUAAUAUCCCCGGGUCAUGACGGUACCGUAAGAAUAAGCACCGGCUAACUACGU